AACACAUGCAAGUCGAGCGGAUGAAGGGAGCUUGCUCCUGGAUUCAGCGGCGGACGGGUGAGUAAUGCCUAGGAAUCUGCCUGGUAGUGGGGGAUAACGUCCGGAAACGGGCGCUAAUACCGCAUACGUCCUGAGGGAGAAAGUGGGGGAUCUUCGGACCUCACGCUAUCAGAUGAGCCUAGGUCGGAUUAGCUAGUUGGUGGGGUAAAGGCCUACCAAGGCGACGAUCCGUAACUGGUCUGAGAGGAUGAUCAGUCACACUGGAACUGAGACACGGUCCAGACUCCUACGGGAGGCAGCAGUGGGGAAUAUUGGACAAUGGGCGAAAGCCUGAUCCAGCCAUGCCGCGUGUGUGAAGAAGGUCUUCGGAUUGUAAAGCACUUUAAGUUGGGAGGAAGGGCAGUAAGUUAAUACCUUG
rnacentral:rRNA from 1 species